GACGAACGCUGGCGGCGUGCUUAACACAUGCAAGUCGAACGGAAAGGCCCUGCUUUUGUGGGGUGCUCGAGUGGCGAACGGGUGAGUAACACGUGAGUAACCUGCCCUUGACUUUGGGAUAACUUCAGGAAACUGGGGCUAAUACCGGAUAGGAGCUCCUGCUGCAUGGUGGGGGUUGGAAAGUUUCGGCGGUUGGGGAUGGACUCGCGGCUUAUCAGCUUGUUGGUGGGGUAGUGGCUUACCAAGGCUUUGACGGGUAGCCGGCCUGAGAGGGUGACCGGCCAAAAUGGGACUGGGAUACGGCCCAGACCCCGACGGGAGGCAGCAGUGGGGAAUAUUGCACAAUGGGCGGAAGCCUGAUGCAGCAACGCCGCGUGCGGGAUGACGGCCUUCGGGUUGUAAACCGCUUUCGCCUGUGACGAAGCGUGAGUGACGGUAAUGGGUAAAGAAGCACCGGCUAACUACGUG
rnacentral:rRNA from 1 species